rnacentral:pre_miRNA from 1 species
CCAAAUUUGUAUGCAGUUGGAACGUUUGCUUACGUUUGCCGCUAGGGGCGCUGUUCCAACUCCAUACAGAGCUU